rnacentral:rRNA from 1 species
CGUGCAGCCGGGAAUGCAAGUCAGAUGUGAAAUCCAUGGGCUUAACCCAUGAACUGCAUUUGAAACUGUAUUUCUUGAGUACUGGAGAGGCAAUCGGAAUUCCUAGUGUAGCGGUGAAAUGCGUAGAUAUUAGGAGGAACACCAGUGGCGAAGGCGGAUUGCUGGACAGCAACUGACGGUGAGGCGCGAAAGUGUGGGAGCAAACA